GUGAUGACACAGCAAGGCUCUCCAGAGCAGGGACGACGUCUUAGUGUAUUCUAUUUCCCUAGGUCCUGGCCUGCUGGAAAGGAGGGAUCCAACUGCCAUGUCCAGUGCUCCCAGAAUACCCAUGCAGUUCUGGUGUCUACAACAGCACCUACAGGAUAAAACAAUCUGGACCUCUUUCCACCACUAACCUUCUAUCUUUAAGAAGCUAAAAACUCGACAAUAACAACAACAAAGAAGCUGAAAACUGCUUUCAGACUACACAUAUUUCCUACUCUAGCUACUGAGUAAUUAUAAGACAACAGAAUCAGCAUUUCAAGGCAUUACUGUCUCCAGCCCGACAAAAAAGGACGCAUUAUGUAGACAUAAAAUAUUAUUAACACUUCUGUGGAUUUUGACAAGCCUAUGUGAGAAAAACCAGAGUUUUGAAUUUGACUGUUCACCAAGACCCAAGAGAACGAUUAGAUCCAGAGAAAUCAAUACAGUACGAUUUUCUUUUGUGUAGUUUCUUUCAUACACACUGCAUGAGAGAGGUUUUUACCAAAUUAAAAUUUCCAAAAUAGAUGACAGUGUGUAAUACAAAUUACAAAAACCGCUGGUGUAAUGGAAAGACAUUUCAUGAUAACUAAAUUAAACCACUCAAUCAUGAGGUUGAUCAUAAAGACAGAGAGGCAAGGCAACGAGGCAGAUGGUCAAAAGAUAGUUCGAUGAGAUCUGAAACGAGAGGUGCUUCGUCACAGCUCCAGCCAGAGAAGACUUCAGAGGGGCAGGCUCAUUUACCGGUGUGCAAGAAGCGUCUAGAGCAACUCUGGCACUUUUCUACGUCCGGCAGAAUUUCCAAAGCAGCCGGGAUCUGUGGAGUAGCUUGAUUUUCAACAGUGGGAUUCCUGAGACACAGAACUGAACAUGAUUUCAUUUUUAUAGUUUGGGGAGACUCUUUGUUGAACAAUUCACAAAUCAAAAAAAUAAACAUAAAUAAA